rnacentral:rRNA from 1 species
GCAAGUCGAGGGGUAACAUUGUAGCUUGCUACAGAUGACGACCGGCGAACGGGUGCGUAACGCGUAUAGAAUCUGCCUUGUACAUGAGGAUAGCCUUUAGAAAUGAAGAUUAAUACUCCAUAAUGCUAAUAUGUGGCAUCACAAAUUAGUUAAAGAUUUAUCGGUACAAGAUGACUAUGCGUCCUAUUAGCUAGUUGGUGAGGUAAUGGCUCACCAAGGCGACGAUCCCUAGCUGGUCUGAGAGGAUGAUC